AAGAAUUAGGGGCUUGCGGCUUGGAGCUAGAGCAGAAGGCACUUGCGAUCCCUCAUCUUCUCCAAAUCCUCGACGCUCACCUUCUGUUAUCUCCUAAGCAACCGACGAUGAAGAAGGUGGCUAAUAGCAAGGCUCGGGGCUAGUGUUGGUUUUGUGCAUUUAUUCUUCUCCCCAUUGAAGAUGACGAAUAAGCAACGGCGGCAUUUCUGGCGGAGCUGCAGCGACGACGAUCAUCGGGCAGCGCUGGAUUGAUCUAUUUGGUGAGGUUCUUCAUUCUCCUCGCAUUCCAGUCAGGGUUCAGCAUCUGAGCUUAGGGUUCCUUGCUGGACGCAUUGAAGAAAACAGGGACUCAGAUCAUCACUGGUGGCUAUUUCCCCUUCACUGGAGAAUUCCAGCCAGAUUUCUUCCAGAUUCUGGUACCACACGACCUCAAUCUGCCGAACACGGUAAAGAGGGUAGAGUAGGGUUGACGGAUCUUGGCUAGAAUUCCUUCGCAAUCAGCAGGUUUCCAAGGAGUGGUUUCUUUAUGGAAGCCGUGCUUCCAUCGUCGCCAAUCAGCAACAUCACCAUCCACUGGAUUCAGGAGAUUCCAAGUGACAGCGGAGUUCUCCUCAGUGGUUCACACUUGUGGAAUUGGGGUUUGGAUAGUUGAAGACAAGGUGCGAGGGGAGUAAUACUACAGCUAUGUCAUGAAUAAAGGCAUGUUUUGGCCAAUUUCCAUCAUUUAGAUCACCUUUUCAAUUUUUCAAUAUUUUUCAUUUUAUUUUUUUAAUUUUAUUCUCUCUUAUUUCUAUUUCUUUGGUGGUUGUAAAAAUUUAAAAAUGUUAUUAGGGCUUAAUUAUUUCAUCUCAUGUAUGUAUGCAUUUUAUCUUGUAUAUUUUCCUAUGUUUUGUGAUUUUA